AUUGAACGCUGGCGGCAUGCUUUACACAUGCAAGUCGAACGGUAACAGGUCUUUCGGGAUGCUGACGAGUGGCGAACGGGUGAGUAAUGUAUCGGAACGUGCCCAGUAGUGGGGGAUAACUACUCGAAAGAGUGGCUAAUACCGCAUGAGAUCUCUGGAUGAAAGCGGGGGGACCGUAAGGCCUCGCGCUACUGGAGCGGCCGAUAUCAGAUUAGGUUGUUGGUGAGGUAAAGGCUCACCAAGCCGACGAUCUGUAGCCUGGUCUGAGAGGACGACCAGCCACACUGGGACUGAGACACGGCCCAGACUCCUACGGGAGGCAGCAGUGGGGAAUUUUGGACAAUGGGCGCAAGCCUGAUCCAGCAAAUGCCGCGUGCAGGACGAAGGCCU
rnacentral:rRNA from 1 species